AAGCGCGCGUAGGUGGAUAUUUAAGUCGAAUGUGAAAGCCCUAGGCUUAACCUAGGAAUUGCAUCCGAUACUAAAUAUCUAGAGUAUGGUAGAGGGAAGUGGAAUUUCCGGUGUAGCGGUGAAAUGCGUAGAUAUCGGAAAGAACACCAGUGGCGAAGGCGGCUUCCUAGACCAAUACUGACACUGAGGUGCGAAAGCGUGGGGAGCAAACAGGAUUAGAGACCCUGGUAGUCCACGCCGUCAACGAUGAGAACUAGCUGUUAAAAAGUUUACUUUCUAGUAGCAAAGCUAACGCGUUAAGUUCUCCGCCUGGGGAGUACGGCCGCAAGGUUAAAACUCAAAGAAAUUGACGGGGGCCCGCACAAGCG
rnacentral:rRNA from 1 species